rnacentral:tRNA from 1 species
GCCGGGGUGGUGAAAUGGUAGACACGCUAGCUUCAGGUGCUAGUGGAGCGUUGCUCCGUGGAGGUUCGAGUCCUCUUCCCGGCACCA